GUCGAGAAUCUUUCACAAUGGGGGCAACCCUGAUGGAGCGACGCCGCGUGGAGGAUAAGGUCUUCGGAUUGUAAACUCCUGUCAUGCGUGAACAAGGUUGCUUGGUUAAUACCUGGGCAAAUUGAUGGUAACGCAAGAGGAAGAGACGGCUAACUCUGUGCCAGCAGCCGCGGUAAUACAGAGGUCUCAAGCGUUGUUCGGAAUCACUGGGCGUAAAGGGUGCGUAGGUGGCGUGGUAAGUCAGAUGUGAAAGCCCGGGGCUCAACCUCGGAACGGCAUCCGAUACUGCCAUGCUAGAGUACGGGAGAGGUGACUAGAAUUCUCGGUGUAGCAGUGAAAUGCGUAGAUAUCGAGAGGAAUACCAAAGGCGUAGGCAGGUCACUGGACAGUUACUGACACUGAGGCACGAAGGCCAGGGGAGCGAACGGGAUUAGAAACCCUAGUAGUCC
rnacentral:rRNA from 1 species